rnacentral:rRNA from 1 species
AUUGAACGCUGGCGGCAGGCCUAACACAUGCAAGUCGAGCGAGCGGCGGACGGGUGAGUAAUGUCUGGGAAACUGCCUGAUGGAGGGGGAUAACUACUGGAAACGGUAGCUAAUACCGCAUACCAUCAGAUGUGCCCAGAUGGGAUUAGCUCGUAGGUAGGGUAACGGCUCACCUAGGCGACGAUCCCUAGCUGGUCUGAGCGGAUGACCAGCCACACUGGAACUGAGACACGGUCCCGACUCCUACGGGAGGCAGGAGUGGGGAAUAUUGCACAAUGGGAGCAAGCCUGAUGUAGCUAUGCCGCUUGUGUGAAGCAGGCCUUCGGGUUGUAAAGCACGUUCAGCGGGGAGGCGUUACCCGCAGAAGAAGCACCGGCUAACUCCGUGCCAGCAGCCGCGGUAAUAC